AGGGUAAUAGCUCAGUGGUAGAGCACAUACUUAGCACGCAUGAGGUCCUGGGUUCAAUCCCUGGUACCUCCA
rnacentral:tRNA from 1 species